AAAGAUUAAGCCAUGCAUGUCUAAGUAUAAGCAAUUAUACCGUGAAACUGCGAAUGGCUCAUUAAAUCAGUUAUCGUUUAUUUGAUAGUACCUUACUACUUGGAUAACCGUGGUAAUUCUAGAGCUAAUACAUGCUGAAAACCCCAACUUCGGAAGGGGUGUAUUUAUUAGAUAAAAAACCAACGCCCUUCGGGGCUUCUUGGUGAUUCAUGAUAACUUUACGGAUCGCAUGGCCUUGCGCCGGCGACGGUUCAUUCAAAUUUCUGGCCUAUCAACUUUCGAUGGUAAGGUAUUGGCUUACCAUGGUUUCAACGGGUAACGGGGAAU
rnacentral:rRNA from 1 species